AUGAACGCUGGCGGCGUGCCUAAUACAUGCAAGUCGAACGAGUUCUGAUUAUUGAAGGGUGCUUGCAUCUUGAUUUAAUUUUGAACGAGUGGCGGACGGGUGAGUAACACGUGGGUAACCUGCCCUUAAGUGGGGGAUAACAUUUGGAAACAGAUGCUAAUACCGCAUAAAUCCAAGAACCGCAUGGUUCUUGGCUGAAAGAUGGCGUAAGCUAUCGCUUUUGGAUGGACCCGCGGCGUAUUAGCUAGUUGGUGAGGUAACGGCUCACCAAGGCAAUGAUACGUAGCCGAACUGAGAGGUUGAUCGGCCACAUUGGGACUGAGACACGGCCCAAACUCCUACGGGAGGCAGCAGUAGGGAAUCUUCCACAAUGGACGCAAGUCUGAUGGAGCAACGCCGCGUGAGUGAAGAAGGCUUUCGGGUCGUAAAACUCUGUUGUUGGAGAAGAAUGGUCGGCAGAGUAACUGUUGUCGGCGUGACGGUAUCCAACCAGAAAGCCACGGCUAACUACGUGCCAGCAGCCGCGGUAAUACGUAGGUGGCAAGCGUUAUCCGGAUUUAUUGGGCGUAAAGCGAGCGCAGGCGGUUUUUUAAGUCUGAUGUGAAAGCCCUCGGCUUAACCGAGGAAGUGCAUCGGAAACUGGGAAACUUGAGUGCAGAAGAGGACAGUGGAACUCCAUGUGUAGCGGUGAAAUGCGUAGAUAUAUGGAAGAACACCAGUGGCGAAGGCGGCUGUCUGGUCUGUAACUGACGCUGAGGCUCGAAAGCAUGGGUAGCGAACAGGAUUAGAUACCCUGGUAGUCCAUGCCGUAAACGAUGAAUGCUAGGUGUUGGAGGGUUUCCGCCCUUCAGUGCCGCAGCUAACGCAUUAAGCAUUCCGCCUGGGGAGUACGACCGCAAGGUUGAAACUCAAAGGAAUUGACGGGGGCCCGCACAAGCGGUGGAGCAUGUGGUUUAAUUCGAAGCAACGCGAAGAACCUUACCAGGUCUUGACAUCUUUUGAUCACCUGAGAGAUCAGGUUUCCCCUUCGGGGGCAAAAUGACAGGUGGUGCAUGGUUGUCGUCAGCUCGUGUCGUGAGAUGUUGGGUUAAGUCCCGCAACGAGCGCAACCCUUAUGACUAGUUGCCAGCAUUUAGUUGGGCACUCUAGUAAGACUGCCGGUGACAAACCGGAGGAAGGUGGGGAUGACGUCAAAUCAUUAUGCCCCUUAUGACCUGGGCUACACACGUGCUACAAUGGAUGGUACAACGAGUUGCGAGACCGCGAGGUCAAGCUAAUCUCUUAAAGCCAUUCUCAGUUCGGACUGUAGGCUGCAACUCGCCUACACGAAGUCGGAAUCGCUAGUAAUCGCGGAUCAGCACGCCGCGGUGAAUACGUUCCCGGGCCUUGUACACACCGCCCGUCACACCAUGAGAGUUUGUAACACCCGAAGCCGGUGGCGUAACCCUUUUAGGGAGCGAGCCGUCUAAGGUGGGACAAAUGAUUAGGGUG
rnacentral:rRNA from 1 species